UUUUUGCAAAAACAAUGAGUGAGAGUCCAGAGAGUAGAAAGAGGCUAAGAGUUGAUGAAGAAGGAGGAUCGUGUGCUUUACAAGAAAAAC
rnacentral:ribozyme from 1 species